rnacentral:rRNA from 1 species
UACGGGGGGAGCAAGCGUUGUUCGGAUUUACUGGGCGUAAAGGGCGCGUAGGCGGCCACCGCAAGUCAAUUGUGAAAUCUCCGGGCUUAACCCAGAAAGGUCAACCGAUACUGCGGGGCUAGAGUGCAGAAGGGGCAACUGGAAUUCUCGGUGUAGCGGUGAAAUGCGUAGAUAUCGAGAGGAACACCUGCGGCGAAGGCGGGUUGCUGGGCUGACACUGACGCUGAAGCGCGAAAGCUAGGGGAGCGAACGGG